AAAAGGUUUAUGGAGAGAAAAGCAAAAAGAGAUGGUGUUCUAGGCUGUCGAUAGGGAAGCAUUUUCCAAGAUUUAAUUCCCACAUCUGUUUCCCAAAGACCGACUGGCUGAUUGAGAUCUGAUAAAUCAUUAGUGAUCAGCUAGUUGAUGACUCAGGUUCUGUGGAAACUGUGCUAGCCUGGAACAUUGUUCUUAUCCUUUGAUGGUUUCUCAGAGAUUGUGGAUUAUUAGUCAUUUUGCACUUGUAGGUGUAGCAGAGGAUGUGUG
rnacentral:lncRNA from 1 species